UACGUAGGGUGCAAGCGUUGUUCGGAAUUACUGGGCGUAAAGCGCACGUAGGCGGCUUUGUAAGUUAGAGGUGAAAGCCCGGAGCUCAACUCCGGAAUUGCCUUUAAGACUGCAUCGCUUGAAUCAUGGAGAGGUGAGUGGAAUUCCGAGUGUAGAGGUGAAAUUCGUAGAUAUUCGGAAGAACACCAGUGGCGAAGGCGACUCACUGGACAUGUAUUGACGCUGAGGUGCGAAAGCGUGGGGAGCAAACAGG
rnacentral:rRNA from 1 species